UUCCGGUUGAUCCCGCCAGAGGCUACUGCUAUCGGGGUCCGACUAAGCCAUGCGAGUUGAGAGGGGUAAGCCCUCGGCAUAUUGCUCAGUAACACGCGGAUAACCUGCCCUUGGGUUUGGGAUAACCCCGGGAAACUGGGACUAAUACCGGAUAGAUCAAAGAAACUGGAAUGUUCUUUGGUUUAAAGCUCCGGCGCCCAAGGAUGGGUCUGCGGCCUAUCAGGUAGUAGUGGGUGUAACGUACCUACUAGCCUACGACGGGUAAGGGUUGUGAGAGCAAGAGCCCUGAGAAGGAUUCUGAGACAUGAAUCCAGGCCCUACGGGGUGCAGCAGGCGCGAAAACUUUACACUGCGGGAAACCGCGAUAAGGGGACCCCGAGUGCCAGCACCUAGUGCUGGCUGUCCAGCUGUUCAAAAAACAGUUGUUAGCGAGGGCCGGGCAAGACCGGUGCCAGCCGCCGCGGUAACACCGGCGGCCCGAGUGGUAGCCGUUAUUAUUGGGUUUAAAGGGUCCGUAGCCGGCUUAUUAAGUCUCUUGGGAAAUCUGGCGACUCAAUCGUCAGGCGUUCAAGAGAUACUGGUAGGCUUGGGACCGGGAGAGGUGGGAGGUACUCCAGGGGUAGGGGUGAAAUCUCGUAAUCCUUGGGGGACCACCGAUGGCGAAGGCAUCCCACCAGAACGGGUCCGACGGUGAGGGACGAAAGCUGGGGGCACGAACCGGAUUAGAUACCCGGGUAGUCCCAGCUGUAAACGAUGCUCGCUAGGUGUCAGGUGCGGUGCGACCGCAUCUGGUGCCGUAGUGAAAACUUGAAGCGAGUCNCCUGGGAAGUACGGUCGCAAGGCUGAAACUUAAAGGAAUUGGCGGGGGAGCACUACAACGGGUGGAGCUGCGGUUCAAUUGGAUUCAACGCCGGG
rnacentral:rRNA from 1 species